GAAAUGCGGACCAGAACUUGUGCCUGGGGCUACUCGCAGAGUCAGCAGGAUUUCAAAGAUUCACUGGUCCACAGCUAAGCCAUGAUUCUUCUGAGGCCUUUUAUUCUCAUCCCUGCCAGCGCUGACCGCCCUCAUGAGGAGCAUGAAGUGCAGGGUGGGUGUUUAGCAGGAUCGUUUUAUCAUCCUCUCCAACCACAGGGGAAACUGAGGUUUUUGAAACGCAGGUUGGAUGCUGAGUAAUCAUGGCUGUGUGUGUCAACAAGCAAGGGAGGUGACCGCCAUUUCUCCUUUCCCUUAAGGGUUGUUUGCCCUUUGCACCCAUGAGAGAUGGCUUCUGCUUCAGUUCUUUGCUUCAAUACCUCCUAUUCACUGAAUCCUUAAAGGAAACAUUUAGCUACCGCUGCACAUAAGUUGGUUGCAUAAUAGGAAAGAAAGGAGCCAGGGCUGGAGACCUCAUCUCCACGGAAGCAUUGUAAGGCCAGCGAGGGCUGUUUUACAGAGCCAGCCAUGACUUGGGACUCCCUCUAUACCCUUUCAUCACCAUGACAACAGGCAGCUCCUACUUCACACAUCCAGGAAAAGCAGCUGACAUCUCAAUGCUAAGAACACAGGGGAGAGGUUUACAAAAAAACCACAACAACCACCACCAAAAAAGUCUUUUUGUUUGCCUGUCAACAGAGAGAACACCCCCCCCAGAGUAAGUCAAAACCUCUAUUCUUGCCUUCAAGAAAGAUCUGAAAGGAAAGUGUUGGGGCUUUUUCCCCUGGUCCAAGGGGGCCCCUCAAGCAGGACCCACUGCAGACUGGCAUGGCUCCUCCGAGUCUCCGGAAGGGCUGGCACCGAGAAUACUCCCUUGCCUUAGACUUGGCCAUUGCAGAAGCUGCUAAAUGACAGAGCAGUGAGACUUAACAGAUACCUUGUGCUGAGGCCCUGAGAUGGUUUCCUUUACAUUUCUUUGAAUAAAGGAAAGAUAACUU
ensembl:antisense Gm26703 predicted gene, 26703